UGAUGUCGUAAUCGGUUAGACAAGUGCAUCGACACAAAGUAGGCGAAGUCUCAGAUGCUGUACUUGAACCCUGAGAAAAGACAACUGUCAAAUGUAGAUUGUUACUAAUCAUGAGUUGUAGCCUCUGAAAAAAACAAACCAACUGUAGCUGGCCCUUCUUGAUCAAUCUGACCGAUCAAUCUGGCUGAGAACUGAAAGACGUAACACGCUGGAAGAAUCUGUCCCUCGUCUUUCAGCGUGGCUCUUACAUCUUGGGUUAGGUUCGUGACGUCAUCUGGAGCAUUUUCUUCUACUUUUCCUCUCUAAAUUUUACACGCCAGUUGGAAGUAUUUUGAGUGCAUUCUAACAGAGGAAAAGGGGAAGAAAAAAGCAAAAAUUGGGAGAUGAAGACACAGAACUUCCUGAGCUUCCUGAGUCAUUUCCUGUCUGAUCUCUUGGAUUCUAGUCUCUCCUUCUGGCCCCACCGCUAUCUCACGUCGUUCCUACUUUUUCUAAUGAUCUUCUCGAAUACCUGAAACGCGGCGCAUUGCCUGUGGUAGAAUGGAUUAUUGUUCCCUCUUCAUCAUUCCUCCGGUUUUCCCUGGAAUUCUGUAGUGCCUUCCACUAUGGACUUGG
rnacentral:lncRNA from 1 species